CGCACUUUGGUGCAAAUCCUCUCAGCACAUCAGCAGCAGCUUGCAGAGCAACAGGACAGAUACCAGAACCUUAAACUUUAAAAGAACAAAAAAAAAAAACCCAAACUGGUUUUACUUUUGCUUUAGGAUCCUCAAAACUCCCAGCAUUGAGUGAGAACUCAGCUUUGAGUUCAAUCGUCCGUUUUAACACAUCAUCACAGUGAGCCACAGCUCCCCAUAAAUAAUUAGAGUUAAUACGACGCCCCUUGAACUUGACACCUUUUGAUGUCUGUGAGCUCUUCACAGCCCUUGCAGCAGCGUCAGAGAAAGGAAGGGAGAAAGAGGAACACAAGGCAGAGAGAGCAGCCGCUUUGUGAUCGGCUGAUUCUCCCCCGUGACACAGCAGCCGGGGAGGAGGCGACUCCGGCUCCAUGGCCUCCCUGUUCACCCAACUCGAGGUGUGGACCAUCAUGUUCUCCAUCCUGGUUUUUGCGCUCUUCACACUCGCUGGGAUGAUCAGCGAAGAAUGUCCGUACACUGAAGAAACUACUGAUAGAAGACAUCAGGAGACGUCGGUGUGACUCAUCUGCUAAUGGUCAGCUUGUGAGAAAAACGUAGCCUGUUCCUGUCCCAGUGUAACCUACUUCCAGGAUGAGGCACAAAGGAGUGGCCAAAUUGUUCAACUAAAAAAAGCAAUAAAGAGACACCUGCUCCAACAAAGUGGCUCACCACAGCAUCGCCUGGCCGCUCACCCUGCAGGAUUUCCAGAGACAACACCGGGAGAUUCCUCUGUGAACUUUGAACCUGGAAAACAGACUGUGUGUCUCUCC